rnacentral:lncRNA from 1 species
AAAGUGGUCGAGAUACUGAUGAAGAUCUGGCAAAUGAUGUAGCAUUAUUGGGAAGACAGUUCAACAAACUUCUGAAAAAGAUGGAUGUAAGGUCUAAGUCUAAUGUCAAGAACAUCUCAUCUGACAUCAGUAGAUCCAAUAAUGCUGGAAGAAGAACAAGAUCUGAUGAAAAGUCCAAAGAAGGAAAAGGAGUUCAGUGC